rnacentral:rRNA from 1 species
CAGCCGUAAACUAUGCUCGCUAGGUGUCAGGCAUGGCGCGACCGUGUCUGGUGCCGCAGGGAAGCCGUGAAGCGAGCCACCUGGGAAGUACAGCCGCAAGGCUGAAACUUAAAGGAAUUGGCGGGGGAGCACAACAACGGGUGGAGCCUGCGGUUUAAUUGGACUCAACGCCGGACAACUCACCGGGGACGACAGCAAUAUGUAGGCCAGGCUGAAGACCUUGCCUGAAUCGCUGAGAGGAGGUGCAUGGCGUAGACGUCU